CAGUAGCCGCGGGAAUACGGAGGAUCCAAGCGUUAUCCGGAAUCAUUGGGUUUAAGGGUCCGUAGGCGGUUUAGUAAGUCAGUGGUGAAAGCCCAUCGCUCAACGGUGGAACGGCCAUUGAUACUGCUGAACUUGAAUUAUUAGGAAGUAACUAGAAUAUGUAGUGUAGCGGUGAAAUGCUUAGAGAUUACAUGGAAUACCAAUUGCGAAGGCAGGUUACUACUAAUUGAUUGACGCUGAUGGAUGAAAGCGUGGGGAGCGAACAGGAUUAGAUACCCCCGUAGUCCCUGUCUCUUAUACC
rnacentral:rRNA from 1 species